rnacentral:lncRNA from 1 species
GCCUCGACCUCUCUGAUUGGGUAAUGCGCACAAGAAAAUCAAGAGGAUUGGUCGGCUGCAGAGAGGCGGCCCGUAACGCGACGCGAAAGAAGUGGGGCAUAGCGGCCCGGGGAAUUCUUGCUAGCUUCCGAUUGGACGAAAGCAGAACGCCUGCCCCUUCGUAGACCCAGCGUACGUACAACGCUCACACCACCACGCCGUACGCUGCGUUAGCGGAAGUUUAAUGGCCCCAUUGGUGGGAUGCGUGGCCAAUAAAGGGCAAGAAUAAGGCGGAUUCCGCCUUCCUCGUGGCUGACUGGAUGCAUCCGCUGGUACUGAUUUACGAAGAGAAUGAUCAUGAAGGGCAAAUGGCAGUGAAGCAAGAAGAGCUGGCUUCAGGCUCAGAAGAGAAUGCUGUGCCUCUUCCUCAUGGUUUGCGGUGCCCUGCAUGUUCAGAGAAACUUCUCUAGUAAUGAAUGAACUAUAGAAAUGAUCCCUGAAAAUAUGGUCUUGAUACUUUAUUUUUGUGGUGGUUUUUUUUGUUUUGUUCUGUUUUUGAUGGAAUUUUGCUCUUGUUGCCCAGGCUGGAGUGCAAUGGCACGAUCUCCACUCACUGCAACCUCCACCUCCCGGGUUCAAGCAAUUCUCCUGCCUCAGCCUCCCAAGUAGCUGGGAUUAUAGGCAUGUGCCACCAUGUCCAGCUAAUUUUGUAUUUUUAGUAGAGACGGUUUCUCCGUGUUGGUCAGGCUGGUCUAGAACUCCCUACCUCAGGUGAUCCACCCGCCUCGGCCUCCCAAAGUGCUGGGAUUACAGGGGUGAGCCACUGCGCCAGGUCAGGGCCAAAAGGAGCAGCUUGGGAUCCUUAUUCUGUGAAAAGAAGUUCACUUCUUUCUUAAUUCAGAUUUUGUGC